rnacentral:lncRNA from 1 species
CCAAAUAAAAUACACAUAUGCAAUUCACAAUAAUACAUUUAGUCAAAUAUUCAAAAUUAAAUAAAAUAGUUUAUUGCACAUAGGUUUAAUACAUGCAUGGUGUACACACUGCUAGGUACUUUGGAACACAUGCAAAUGUAGCUAGGUACCACCGGUGGGUGGCAUAUACAAGCCAGUACACAUACACACAAUACUAGCACAAGAAAGAGGCAAAGCCAAGCCAAGCAAUGCAUACAAGCUCUCUUCUCACACACAAAAAUAAAAUGAGGUGCAAACCAAUAUAUAUAGGUGGUGGUAUAUACCGAUCGAUCUUGUGAUAGUAUAUAUAUAUUAGUACUUGGAUCAUCUGAUUAUCAGUACUUUCACAUGCCAUCCGUACCCAUGUUCACUGAUGAGAUCUCAUCAGCAGUUGUUGCAACGUCGUUGCUCCUCAACCUGGCCAAAGUAUCCUCGUGCGACACUAUGGAUGACGGCCCGCUCCCAGGCUCGACCCCGAUCAUGAGGCCCUCAUCUGCACCUAUCUGCAUCUCCAUCGACAUUUGAAUCAUGUGUUGUUGUUGUUGCUGCUGCUGCUGCUGGUGGUGGUGGUCAUGGUGGUAGAACGACACCAACGGUCGUGGUGGGGUAGCCAUAUUCUGGUAGUGGUGGUUCCCAAAGUAGUGGUCGUUCAUCAUCGGGAGCACCGCAGUACCCAUCAUUGACAAUCUGGCCCCGGUGUCAUGCAUCUGGUACGAAGAAGAUGCAGGUAGGGACGACGGGGGCACCAGCGAUGAUGAUGCACCAUAGCCCAUGAAAGGAGGCAAUGUACCGGAUUCAAGGAAGCCAUGUUGCUCCUCUGCUCCCAUGGACAUUGGCAUGGGAAUGGCGUACGACGACAUCACUACCUUCUUGAGUCCGGUGCUCUUAUGGAAUAUCCUGCAAACCACAUACUCCUCCUACCAACAUACAUAAACUAAAUCAGUGCAAAUCAACUAUGUAUAGUAGUUAGCUAGUACGUACAGACGUGUUCAUGAAUCAUGAGUACUACUAGCAUGUGUUUAAAUGCCUUGGAAGAUGCAUUAAUGGCUGUGGCGGUGGUGAUGUCGAUGGGUAGACCAGGUGUUCCUUGUUUUCCACUCUCGAGCCUAUACUCGUGCAUGACCCAGUUGGUCUUCUCCCCCUAGGCUCCCUACCCUUGUAGAAGACCAACGUCUUCUUCAUGCCGAUGAGACUUGUGGUCGCGUGGUGGAAGAUCUCCUUGUCCUUUCCAGUGGCCUUCGAGUAGCCGGCGGUCGUGGCUCGGUUGGUCCGUAUACCGGUGGGGUACUUGCGGUCCUUUUGGGAGAAGAAGUACCACUCCUUCUACCCCAUUUUCGCCUUCUCGGGGAGUUCCCAUGGCUCGCAUUUGUUCAGGUCCACCUCCCCGACCGCUAUGGGGUCGAAUGCUUUGUUCAACACCUUAGGGACUAGGUAGGAGGUGAUGAUCUCCACAUUCGUCGGGUGAAACCUGAACCCCUGAGGGAACUUUAGUUGUUGCCGCUGAACUUGAAGGUGGUCUGCCAUGGCGGAGGCUCUUUGGGAAAUUGGUUCUAGGCUGGCGCAAGUAUUGGGGGCAACGAUGGAGAUUUAUGUAACUACAAAAGGAAUACAAUGAUAUCGAGAGAUAUGAGAGGAGAUGCUUAAAUAGAGUGAAUGCUUGUGUUAGCAAGUCACUUACUAGAGAAGCCUUGACGUUUUAUGUGCUUUGAUUAAUUUGUCCCUACUUAAAGUGGAUGGGUGGAUGUUUAGAUAGAUACAUAGAUAGAUAGAUAGAUAUAGAUAGCUCCCUCGCCUUUACAACGGUGUGUUGUUUAUCUUGCUAUGGGGCAUGCCUAGGUGGUGACAAGUGCUAGGUUUCUCGAACCUCUCCAAGCCAUGUCAUGCCAAAUUGAACACCUUUGAUUUUGUUCUCAUUCUUGUUAAUGUAUGCAUAUGCAUUCCUCAUGCUCUGCUUGUCUCAUCUUCAUGGAAAGUGUGUGCUUCUGUUGUUGUUUCUUGGCUUUAGGGGCGAACCUACAAGAAAAAUGACUCGUUGCCCACAUACACACCAUAUACGGAUGGAUACCAAGCUAUAUGCAUAGAAUUAACACACUAGAAUAAUAUAAAAAGCCAAGCAGUAAAAUUGCUUACCAAAAUGAACAAGCAUAAAAGACUAGUUGAUGGAUUAUCAUUUGGUCAGUAUAAUGGGCCAACAUUAUCCGGGGUCUUCGUAUUUCUAAGAAUCAUCUCCAUAAAUUCUCCUAAAGUUUGUCGGUUGUUAUAUUAGCACACAUGUGCAACAAGUUACGUUAUUUAUGUUUGUAGAUGCAAAAAUAGAAACAACAAAAUUGAACAAAUUGAUUAAACUAUAUGUUUACGAAGUUAAACUUAACGGACAAUGGGUCUUACUAUCAUGGUUUGCGGACAGGAAUGAUCCAACUAGAAGUGAAUCAAUCAAGAAAAGUGAAAAAUCAAAGCAACUUGUUUCUUAGUUGUUGAAAGGUCGUGGAUGUCGCCUAGAGGGGGGGGGGGUGAAUAGGCGCUUUAAAAUAAUUACGGUUUAGGCUUGAACAAAUGCGGAAUAAACCUAACGGUUAAUUUGUCAAGCACAAAACCUAAAACAACUAGGCUCACCUAUGUGCACCAACAACUUAUGCUAAGCAAGAUAAACUACUUAGGUGAUAGCAAGAUAUAUGACAAGAAACAAUAUGGUUAUCAUAAAGUAAAGUGCAUAAGUAAAGGGCUCGGGUAAGAGAUAACCGAGGCACGCGGAGACGAUGAUUUAUCCCGAAGUUCACACCCUUGCGGAUGCUAAUCUCCAUUUGGAGCGGUGUGGAGGCACAAUGCUCCCCAAGAAGCCACUAGGGCCACCGUAAUCUCCUCACGCCCUCGCACAAGGCAAGAUGCCGUGAUUCCACUAAGGGACCCUUGAGGGCGGUCACCGAACCCGUACAAAUGGCAACCCUUGGGGGCGGUCACCGAACCCGUACACUUUGGCAACCAUUGGGGGCGGUCACCGGUACCCGUCAAAUUGCUCGGGGCGAUAUCCACAACCUAAUUGGAGACCCCGAAGCUUGCCCGGAGCUUUACACCACAAUGAUUGAGCUCCGAACACCACCAACCGUCUAGCGCGCCCAAGCACCCAAGAGGAACAAGCUCAAGGGUACCAAGCACCCAAGAGUAAUAAGCUUCUCUACUUGUAACUUCCACGUAUCACCGUGAAGAACUCAAAGCGAUGCACCAAAUGCAAUGGCAAUGGCACACGGAGUGCCCAAGUCCUUCUCUCUCAAAUCCCACGGAAGCAACUAGUGCUAGGGAGGAAAAUGAGAGGAAGAACAAGAAGGAAAACACCAAGAACUCCAAGAUCUAGAUCCAAGGGGUUCCCCUCACAAAGAGGAGAAAGUGAUUGGUGGAAACGUGGAUCUAGAUCUCCUCUCUCUUUUCCCUCAAGAACUAGCAAGAAUCAUUGGAGGGAUUGAGAGUUAGAAAGCUCGAAGAAGGUCAACAAUGGGGGGAGAACACGAGCUAAAAGGAUAAGGUCCAUUGGGGAAGAAGAUCCCCUUUUAUUGGUGGGGAAAAAUCCAACCGUUACCUACCAACCAGCCCGCGGCCAGCGGUACUACCACGCCUGGCCAGCGGUACUACUGCAAGGCCGCAUGGUACUACUGCUUGCAACCAAGCGGUACUACCGCAUGGCUGUGUGGUACUACCGUACCGACCCACGGUACUGCCACAACCCCAGCACAGAACCGAUAAAUAGAUGCACAAGAGCUGGGGGCGGAACUUCUGCACGCGCGGUACUACCGCGCCCCCAUGCGGUACUACCGCGAGGCAAAAGUCCCAGCCAGUGGAAAAGGGAAACUUCCGUGCCUACUUCCGCAAAGAAACGGAAGUAGCAAAAACCCGACACAGUAGUACUGCCGAGGGGCGGUACUACUGCCUGACCGCAUAGCGCGGUACUACCGCACGGCGAAAGCGGUACUACCGUGGUAGGUGCGGAUGUAAAAAAUUACAUCCGCUCCUACUACCGCAAAGGGGCGGCACUAGCCUGGUGGGCAGCGGUAGUGCGGCUCCAGGGGAGUGGUACUACCGUGGGCACCUGUGGUACUACCGUGCCAUUGCACGGUACUACCGCUUUCCUGGGAGCAGUACUACCGCAACCAACAACGGCAGCCACACAAGGGAGGCAAGAAAACGGAGGAAGCUCCAAGUAAGAAGGAGGGGAAAAGAAGGAGACGUGUACGUGAUGAAUCCACCCAAACCUUUCCAACGCGGACCCUGACAAAACCACACUCAAGAGAACAAGAACUGCCAUAACUUCUGCAUAUGAGCUCCGAAUUGAGCAAACUCAAGCUUGUUGGAAACAAGACGACGAGUAGGUCCGAAUUGAUUAUAGUAAGAAGAGGCAGGGGAGGUAUGCCAACAAAUAGAGGAGUGAAACCUCCAACCAAGAAGAACCGGCAAAACCUCCAACAACGAAAACAUCAUAGAGUAUGCAAGCGAACUCCGUUUUCGAUGAACUCAAGCUUGUCAUCAAGAUGACCAAAAACUCUAAGACUAUCAAAGAGAACCAAACAAGAACCAAGAAAGAUGAUGCAAGGAUGCAAUGGUUUGAGCUCUCAGCGAACGAUACAAUCAAGCUACUCAUCGAGAGCCCCCCUUGAUAGUACGGCAAUCGAUCCUAUAACCCAGUCUCCCAACUACCAUCAUGAGACCGGUAAAAUAGAAAACCUAUCAAGGGCAAACCUUUGCCUUGCACAUGGUCCACUUGAGCUAGAUGAAGACGAUCUUGACUCCCUCAAGUUGGACCACCUUUCUUGAUUAGGUUGACUUGAUGAAGACUAGUUGAUUACUCCCCCAUACUCCACUAUGGGUGAGCCACUCUUCCGCACAUCUUCACAAGUCCAUUGUCACCACAAAGGACGGCAAGCUUCAAGCAUUUGAUAUCUUCGUGAUGCUCCACUUGAACUUGCACACCGCAACCUAACCCCACAAAGAAUCCUCACGAAGACCAUGGGUUAGUACACGAAGCGUAAUUGACAAUGCUUACCAUACCAUGGGAUCACUUGAUCCCUCUCGGUACAUCUUCUAUGCUUUGUGGGUUGGUCAACUUGAUUCACUCUUUGACUUAGUCUUGAUCAACCUCUCACAAGACCAAUCUUUAGGAAAUUCCUUGAAUAGCACCUUGGUCGACACAAACUCUCCUUGAAACCAACACAUGUACUCCAAGAAAAGCCUAUGGACAAAAACCUUCAAAUAUAACUCAAGGCAACCAUUAGUCCAUAGAGAUUGUCAUCAAUUACCAAAACCAAACAUGGGGGCACCGCAUGUUCUUUCAGUUGUAAUGCCCUACAAUUUAGAGAACAAGAAUUAGGCAAAAUUAAAUAAUUAUAAUAGCUUUAAAUUUAUAAAUCCUAGCCAUACAAUUUAGAGAAAGGUAACUAAACAAAAUUAAGAUUGACUCCAUGGGUGUUAGAAUUAUUACUAUGUAAUCUAGAUUAUUGACUCUAGUGCAAGUGCGAGACUGAAGGAAAUAUGUACUAGAGACAAUAGUAAGUUGUUACUUAUAUUUCCUUAUAUCAUGACAAAUGUUUAUUAUUCAUGCUAGAAUUGUACUAACCGGAAACUUAGUACAUGUGUGAAUCCAUAGACAAACAGAGUGUCUCUAGUAUGCCUCUACUUGACUAGCUCGUUAAUCAAAGAUGGUUAAGUUUCCUAGCCAUAGACAUGUGUUGUCAUUUGAUGAAUGGGAUCACAUCAUUAGAGAAUGAUGUGAUGGACAAGACCCAUCUGUUAGCUUAGCAUAAUGAUCAUUUAGUUUUUCUGCUAUUGCUUUCUUCAUGACUUAUACAUGUUCCUCAGAGUAUGAGAUUAUGCAACUUCCGAAUACCGGAGGAACACCUUGUGUGCUAUCAAACGUCACAACGUAACUGGGUGAUUAUAAAGAUGCUCUACAGGUGUCUCCAUUGGUGUUUGUUGAGUUGGCAAAGAUCAAGAUUAGGAUUUGUCACUCCGUGUAUCGGGGAGGUAUCUCUAGGCCCUCUCGAUAAUGCACAUUACUAUGAGCCUUGCAAGCAAUGUGACUAAUGAGUUAGUCACGGGGUGAUACAUUACGGAAUAAGUAAAGAGACUUGUCGGUGACGAGAUUGAACUAGGUAUGAUGAUACCGACGAUCGAAUCUCGGGCAAGUAACAUACCGAUGACAAUGGGAACAACGUAUGUUGUUAUGCGGUUUGACCUAUAAAGAUCUUCGUAGAAUAUGUAGGAGCCAAUAUGAGCAUCCAGGUUCCGCUAUUGGUUAUUGACCAGAGAUGUGUCUCGGUCAUGUCUACAUAGUUCUCGAACAUGUAGGGUCCGCACGCUUAAUGUUCAAUGACGAUUUGUAUUAUGAGUUUCGUGUUUUGAUGAACCGAAGUUUGUUUGGAGUCCCAGAUGAGAUCAUGGACAUGACGAGGAGUCUCGAACUGGUCGAGACAUAAAGAUUGAUAGAUUGGAAGGUUGCAUUCGGACACCGGAAUGGUUCAGGUUGUUCGGAUGAGUUUCGGAGUACCGGACCCCCCCCCCUCGGGAAGUUAUUGGGCCUCAUGGGCCUAUUGGUGGAAGAGAGGAGGCCGGCCAGGGAGUGGCGCCCCCCCUAGCCCAAACCGAAUUGGACUAGGUUUGGGGGGCGGCCCCCCUUUCCUUCUCUCCUCCUCGUUCUUCCCUCCUUCUCCUACUAGGAAUAGGAAAGAGGAGGGGAAUCUUACUUGGACUAGGGAGUCCUAGUAGGAUUCCCCACACCUGGCGCGCGCCCCUUGGGCCGGCCACCUCUUCCCUCCCCUCCUUUAUAUACGUGUCCAGGGAGCACCCCAUAGAGACACAAGUUGAUCUUUUAUCCGUGUGUGGUGCCCUCCUCCAUAGUUACACACCUCGGUCAUAUCAUUGUAGUGCUUAGGUGAAGCCCUGCGUUGUUAACUUCAUCAUCAUCAUCACCACGCCGUCGUGCUGACGGAACUCUCCCUCGGCCUCAACUGGAUCAAGAGUUCGAGGGACGUCAUCGAGCUGAACGUGUGCUGAUCGCGGAGGUGCCAUGCAUUCGGUACUUGGAUCGGUUGGAUCGCGAAGACGUUCGACUACAUCAACCGCGUUACAAAAUGCUUCCGCUUUCAGUCUACAAGGGUACGUAGACACACUCUUCCCUCUCGUUGCUAUGCAUCUCCUAGAUAGAUCUUGCGUAGGUAAAUUUUUUGAAAUACUGCGUUUCCCAACAGCAAUGUCGUUGCUACUUAACCUGGCCAAAGUGUCCUCCUGCGACACUAUGGAUAUUGGCCCAAUCCCAGGCUCGACCCCGAUCAUGAGGCCAUCGUCUUCACCUAUCUUCAUCUGCAUCGGCAUUUGAAUCAUGUGUUGUUGUUGUUGCUGCUGGUGGUGGUCAUGGUGGUAGAACGACACCAAUGGUUGUGGUAGGGUAGCCAUAUUCUGGUAGUGGUGGUUCCCAAAGUAGUGGUCGUUCAUCAUCGGGAGCACCGCACUAUCCAUCAUUGACGAUAUGGCCCAGCGUCGUGCAGCUGGUACGAAGAAGAUACAGGUAGGGACGAUGGGGCCACCAGCAAUGAUGAUGCACCAUAGCCCAUCAAAGGAGGCAAUGUACUAGAUUCAAGGAAGCCAUGUUGCUCCUCUUCUCCCAUGGACAUCGGCAUGGGAAUGACGUACGACGACACCACUACCUUCUUGAGUCCAGUGCUCUUAUGGAAUAUCGUGCAAACCACAUACUCCUCCUACCAACAUACAUAAACUAAAUUAGUGCAAAUCAACUAUGUCCAGUAGCUAGUUAGUACGUACGGACGUGCUCAUGAAUCAUGAGUACUACUAGCGUGUGUUUAAAUUCCUUGGAAGAUGUAUUAAUGGCUGUGGCGGUGGUGAUGUCAAUGGGUUGACCAGUUGUUCCUUGUUUUUCACUCUCGAGCCUAUACUCAUGCAUGACCCAGUUGGUUUUCUCCCCCCUAGGCGCCCUUCCCUUGUAGAAGACCAACAUCUACAAUUUUAGUGGAUCAUAGACACAAAAACUGCGGUUUCAUGGCCAAACACUGGAAAGCACAACCUAUGAAGAUGGUGCUUUUUUCCUGAGCCACACAUGGGUUUCUAGCUAGAGCACAGCCAAGCCUUUGCUCAGCUAGGAUUCUUGUAGGACGGAAGCAAACCGAAAGCAGGGAAACAGCCAAAUCAUGAACAAAAGUAAAGGUUCAUGAACAUCUACAAUUUUAAUGGAUCAUAGACACAAAAACUGAGAGAUGAGGUCCUUCUCUCUCAUUAUAACCGUAAACUCAGGAGUUUUUUUGUUCGCACUGUUCACAAGCACGAGUUCCACUAAAUUGAUUCUCGGGUGCUUCGUAAUCAUAAAGAAGAGGAGGCUACCUCCUUUUGUAAAAAAAAGUGUAAGUGAUAUUCUUGACAAUGGACGAAGUCGACCAUCGAGCAUAUGCCUAUUUUGUAUGGAAGAUCAUUACCAUUGGCAUCAUGGGUGGUGAUGCCUGACGAUAGUCUCGUUGAAUGACACUAAGCUUUUGUAGGAAAUAUAUCAUGGGACGGUAAAUACAAGGCUAGUAAUUGCUCGGAUCAGCCGGAUAUUCCUCGAUGGAACAACCAUUCACUUGUUUCGCAUGGGCGACAUGGAAGCAUUAAGUCCAAUGCCACCAAAAAAAUGAAAGAGGUAGGCCCAAAGGCCAAGAGGUAAGAAAAUGAUUGCAUAAUUUUAAAAUAUGUUUUACAAAAUGUUGUGACAUUUAACAAUCUAGUUUCAAAAAUGUUCGGUGACAUUUUUGUAAAACAUUUAAACAAUGUAAAGAAUGUUCUUAAACAAUUUAAAUAACAUAAACAUAUUUUCUAGGAAAAUAUAAAAACUUAAAAGUGUUUGUCACAUUUAAAAAAAAGGUUUAAAUUUAAUCAAUGUUUGCGUGUAUUUUUCAAUGCUCAUGGCAUUUCUGAAAAAUUUAUAACAUACAUUAAAAAAUGUUCAAAGUGCACUCAGGAAAGUUUCAAGGUGUGUCUAGAAAAUGUUCUACAUGUAUUCAAAAAAUGAUUAACGUCUUUAAAAAAAUUCAACAUGUAUUUGCAAACAAAUAACAGUUAUUCAUAAAAAAGCAAACAUGUAUUUGAAAAAAUAUUCAUCAUGUAUUUGGCAAAUGUUCAACGUGUAUCAGAAAAUAUUCUGUGUGUUAACGAGAACUGUAAAACUUAUAUUGAAAAGGCUGACUGUAUAUGUAAAAAUAAUAAGAAAAAUGCAAAAGAAAAAAACUGUUACAUACACAACAGAAACAAAGAAGAAGAAACACGCAAGUGAACUUCUAAAAUUGGUCCAAACAGAUCCAUAGAAGUUUCCUAUAAGCUCUUUGUUACGUUGGGCUCGCCCAUUAGCUGCAGCGGUAAAGGCGUGUUGGAAGACAUACCGUUUGCGGUUGAGGCAAGUCGUCGCCCAAACGCAUUGGGCGUGGCGCAACUCAACCGAGAUGUUGUCGCUAGUACUGUACUGAGCUGAUUGAUUUAUUUUUGUACACUAUAAUGUUUCUAGGAAGUUUUCUUCAACAAAAAUCAUCUGCAGUAGGAAAUUUUUGAACAUUAUGAAAUUGAAAUGUAUUAUUUUUAACUUCUGUGAACUUUCUUUUUAUUUAAACAUGAACAUUUUACAAAUUUUCCGAAAAUAAAUUUUUGGAAACAUGAUAAUUUUAAAAAAUUAUGAACAUUUUAGGAAAAUAAUCAAUAUUAUUUAAUUCUUUGUGAACAUUUUGUUCAAAAUUGAGCACUUAUUUUAUAUAUUUUUUAAACACAUGAACAUUUAUUUAAACAUGAACGGUUUUCUUUAAAAUAUAUAUUUCGAACUUGAUGAUUUUUUUAAAAGUAUUUCAAAUAAAAAAUAAAAGGUAAAGCUAAAAUCGAUAGAGAAAACAAAUAGAAAAAAAAAAGUAAAAGGAAAUUAAAUAGACAUGAAUCGAAGAAAACCUGAAUAGUUAAUGUGGCUGGACCUAGGUUUACUCAACACUUUGAACCAGUAUGCAUCAAAUGGGAUUGUGUGCGAGCGUACAUGUGACUACAUAGUUGCAGGGCUAGUAAUAGCCACUCUUUGGCUCCUCUGGUUCGACAUAAACUGGGUUCCAAUGGUUCCCGCAAAUUAUUUUUCAACUAGUCAUGUGGACAUGCCGGACAUCAUGUAUCCUCAAGAAAAAAAACUCACACAUUAUCCUUGAUGCUUUGCUUCCUGUCGAAGAAACCUCAUGAAAGAAGUGAGAUGUUACAGUAGAUGGAUUUUUUUCGAAAAGGGGGAGCUCCCNNNNNNNNNNNNNNNNNNNNNNNNNNNNNNNNNNNNNNNNNNNNNNNNNNNNNNNNNNNNNNNNNNNNNNNNNNNNNNNNNNNNNNNNNNNNNNNNNNNNNNNNNNNNNNNNNNNNNNNNNNNNNNNNNNNNNNNNNNNNNNNNNNNNNNNNNNNNNNNNNNNNNNNNNNNNNNNNNNNNNNNNNNNNNNNNNNNNNNNNNNNNNNNNNNNNNNNNNNNNNNNNNNNNNNNNNNNNNNNNNNNNNNNNNNNNNNNNNNNNNNNNNNNNNNNNNNNNNNNNNNNNNNNNNNNNNNNNNNNNNNNNNNNNNNNNNNNNNNNNNNNNNNNNNNNNNNNNNNNNNNNNNNNNNNNNNNNNNNNNNNNNNNNNNNNNNNNNNNNNNNNNNNNNNNNNNNNNNNNNNNNNNNNNNNNAUCUAAUGCAUUUCUUAAUUUUCCAAAGUGGAAGUAAGCGUUCAUAUGGUGGAUGGAAAUCCCACUAGGUUGGUGCAUGACCAAAAUUUGUUUCCAAAUAAAAUACACAUAUGUAAUUCACAAUAAUACAUUUAGUCAAAUAUUCAAAAUUAAAUAAAAUAGUUUAUUGCACAUAGGUUUAAUACAUGCAUGGUGUACACACUGCUAGGUAGUUUGGAACACAUGCAAAUGUAGCUAGGUACCACCGGUGGGUGGCAUAUACAAGCCAGUACACAUACACACAAUACUAGCACAAAAAAGAGGCAAAGUCAAGCCAAGCAAUGCAUACAAACUCUCUUCUCACACACAAAAAUAAAAUGAGGUGCAAACCAAUAUAUAUAUAUAUAUAUAUAUAUAUAUAUAUAUAUAUAUAUGUGUGUGUGUGUGUGUGUGUGUGUGGCGGUAUAUACUGAUCGAUCUUCUGAUAGUAUAUAUAUUAGUACUUGGAUCAUCUGAUUAUCAGUACUUCCACAUGCCAUCCGUACCCAUGUU